rnacentral:snoRNA from 1 species
AAUCCAUGGUGAGUUCUUUGUUCUCCUUAAAACGCUCCCAGGCUUCAUAGAAAGAUUCAGUUGGCCCUUGUUGAAAGUUUGAGAUCUUUGUUCUCAACU